GGAUAACACUUAGAAAUAGGUGCUAAUACCGCAUAAGCGCACAGCUUCGCGUGAAGCAGUGUGAAAAACUCCGGUGGUAUACGAUGGAUCCGCGUCUGAUUAGCUUGUUGGCGGGGUAAAGGCCCACCAAGGCGACGAUCAGUAGCCGGCCUGAGAGGGUGAACGGCCACAUUGGGACUGAGACACGGCCCAAACUCCUACGGGAGGCAGCAGUGGGGAAUAUUGCACAAUGGGGGAAACCCUGAUGCAGCGACGCCGCGUGAGUGAAGAAGUAUUUCGGUAUGUAAAGCUCUAUCAGCAGGGAAGAAAAUGACGGUACCUGACUAAGAAGCCCCGGCUAACUACGUGCCAGCAGCCGCGGUAAUACGUAGGGGGCAAGCGUUAUCCGGAUUUACUGGGUGUAAAGGGAGCGUAGACGGCAGCGCAAGUCUGGAGUGAAAUCCCAUGGCUUAACCAUGGAACUGCUUUGGAAACUGUGCAGCUAGAGUGCAGGAGAGGUAAGCGGAAUUCCUAGUGUAGCGGUGAAAUGCGUAGAUAUUAGGAGGAACACCAGUGGCGAAGGCGGCUUACUGGACUGUAACUGACGUUGAGGCUCGAAAGCGUGGGGAGCAAACAGGAUUAGAUACCCUGGUAGUCCACGCUGUAAACG
rnacentral:rRNA from 1 species